CAAUAGCGUAUAUUUAAGUUGUUGCAGUUAAAAAGCUCGUAGUUGGAUUUCGGUUAAGAGCGACCGGUCCGCCGUUUGGUGUGCACUGGUUGGUUUUAACUUCCUGUAGAGGACGUGCUCUGGGUUUAACGACCUGGACUCGGAGUCUACGUGGUUACUUUGAAAAAAUUAGAGUGUUCAAAGCGGGCUUACGCUUGAAUAUUUCAGCAUGGAAUAACACUAUAGGACUCCUGUCCUAUUUCGUUGGUCUCGGGACGGGAGUAAUGAUUAAGAGGAACAGUUGGGGGCAUUCGUAUUUCAUUGUCAGAGGUGGAAUUCUUGGAUUUAUGAAAGACGAACUUCUGCGAAAGCAUUUGCCAAGGAUGUUUUCAUUA
rnacentral:rRNA from 1 species